AUCUUCCUCAGGAUUUCCAGUCAUGAGUAGUUUUGAAAAUUACAAAGAGUUUUUUAUUUCCAUGUUUCCCUUCCAUACAAAGUCUUGCAGACAAUUGCUGCAUUCAGUAUUUAUCAGUCUUUAUUAGUGGUACUUAAGCUGGAAACCUUUCUCCCUCCCCAGAAUUAUCUGAAAUUCCCCUGCCAUUGGUUUACAUUUAGCUAAACCUCCCUCUGAUAUCUUGACCAACAUUUCACGGAGUCACGUCCUUCAUGCAAGGUGACAUAAAAAAAGUCAAAGCAAACACUUGUGACUCUCUUGAUACCCCCCCCCCUAGAUUGCUUGAAACAUGUCAGCUUUUGGCUCCCAUAUCAGGGUCCAAGAGCACAUGGGUGAAAUGUUUGAGAUCACACCCUUAUUGUCCUUCGAGGAAGGAGUAAACAUUCUUCAUUGUCUGACUGCUAAGGCAAAUGGGUGCACGGCAACUUCACAGGCAGAAAGGAGAUAAGCUUGCCUUGCUCUCUCCAAAGAGCAGGCAGGAUAAACAAAAGGAAAGCCACCCUGCUUUGAGGGAUUCACUGUUGCACAGGGAGAGAGUUCUGUGGAAACAGGCUCCAUAAGCAGCAGGACAAUCAGAAUCCAUAAGAAUGAUCAGUCAGUUGUCAGGAAGACAGAUGACCUAAGUGACACCUCGUUUCUAUCUAUCUAUCUAUCUAUCUAUCUAUCUAUCUAUCUAUCUAUCUAUCUAUUUAUUUAUUUAUGUCACACAGUAUAUAUAAGCAUAAGCAUGUAAUAACUAUACAAUAUAUAAGCAUAUAUAUAAAUAUGAGUAUGUAAUAACUAUAUUAAUUGGAUAUAAUGAAAGGAAACAAUGGGACAGGAAAGGUAGGCAUGCUUGUGCUAACAAGGCAAUAGGAUAUUUAUUUAUUAAUCUAUUAAAUGUAUGUGCUGCCCAUUUCACUGUUGAAGGGACUCUGGGCAGCUUAUUAAAAAGUCAUCAAUUAGCAAGAAGGAUAUAGUAUGAGAAUAAUAUUUCUCAGCUGCACCCAAGAUAUUUUUUCAUCAGAUAUAAUAUAACCUCCCCCCUUUUCCUUCUUACUUCUGUUCCAACCUGAAUUGCAACUCAGUCUUACUUCAACUUCUACCGCAUACGCAGAAUAAUUCAGAUGACAGCAGGGUGGGCAGUGUAAGACACUAAUUAUCAGCUGAUACCUUUCCAUUAAGCAUCUUUUGCUUGUUAAGGUCAUCUAACUCUGUUUUCUGGUACAGCCAGUUCCAAGAACGGGCUUAUUUUUGAGCAAGAGAAUUCCAGUUAGGUAUACUUAAUAUGGAAAGAUCAACAAUUGGCCCUAUAUAAAGGGAUUUUGUGUUGCUCAGUACAUACAACAAAAGAAUAUGAUAUUCAUUAAACACAAAUAUCAUUUCUAUAGGAGUAGCUUUGGCAAAGAUCUCCUAAAAGUUUUUUUUUUCUUAAAAUGUUAAAGUGUAAAUCAUAAGAAUGCAUAAGCCAUUACCUAUUCUUCACAGACAUAACCUAGAAAACCUGUGCAACCAAAAGGUUUGGUUGCCAAUCUCAUAAAAAGAGAUGGGUGCAAAGGGAGGGAAUCAGAUAUUAGUUGCAAUGGAGCUGCCAUAGCAACUCAAUGCGGCUCUGAGGCUGAUGGGAUAACCAAGUUUUCCAGGCCUUCUAGAAAACUAAUGGAGAUGGAACUAAUCUCAUUUCUUCCAUGACAGAAAAGAUUUGCCUCUUGGAUCCUUUCUAGUGUAGAUCCCUGGCAGACAGGACCUGCAGCAUGCCUCUUCUGCUGGAUCUGAUGGAACGGGCAGAUGAAAUGAGGAGAGGCAGUCCCUCAAAUAACUCAGCUCCAUGCCAUGAAGGGGUUUAAAGGUCAAAACCAGCACCUUGAAUUGGACUUGGAGGCAAACUGGCAACCAAUGCAUCUCACAGAGCAGAGGUCAGUCUAAUCAAGAGUUUCUGAGACAACAUAUGGAAAGUGCUAUACAAAACCAUAUUUUUUUUGGAACUAACCAGAAAGUACAACUUCAGCAACAGAGUGAUCAAUGCCUGGCAAAUACUACCUGACUGUGGUUUUGUCCCCAAACCCCCACAACUUUAACCUUAGACUAUCUACUGUUGACUUUACCCCAUUCCUAAGAGGUCUUUAAGCGGCGUGCAUAAGUGCACCAACGUGCCUACCGUCCCUGUCCUAAUGUCCCCAUUUUUUAUCCAUUUCAUGUACUCAUAAUCAUGUUUAUACUUAUAUCUGUUAUCUUAUACAUGCUUGACAAAUAAAUAAAUAAAAUUUUAAAAAUGUUGAUUGAUUGAUUAACUAAGCCCUGUAAA